rnacentral:rRNA from 1 species
UACGUAGGGUGCAAGCGUUAAUCGGAAUUACUGGGCGUAAAGCGUGCGCAGGCGGUUAUUUCAGACAGAUGUGAAAUGCCCGGGCUUAACCUGGGAACUGCAUUUGUGACUGCAUGGCUAGAGUUUGGCAGAGGGGGGUAGAAUUCCACGUGUAGCAGUGAAAUGCGUAGAUAUGUGGAGGAACACCGAUGGCGAAGGCAGCCCCCUGGGUCAAGACUGACGCUCAUGCACGAAAGCGUGGGGAGCAAACAGG